GCUAACAGGGGAGGUUGUGUGAGUUGUCCUAGCUAACAGGGGUGAUUGUGUGAGUUGUCCUAGCUAACAGGGGAGGUUGUGUGAGUUGUCCUAGCUAACAGAGGAGGUUGUGUGAGAUGUGUGAGUUGUGCGAGCUAACAGGGGAGGUUGUGUGAGUUGUGCUAGCUAACAGGGGUGGUUGUGUGAGUUGUCCUAGCUAACAGGGGAGGUUGUGUGAGAUGUGUGAGUUGUGCGAGCUAACAGGGGAGGUUGUGUGAGUUGUGCUAGCUAACAGGGGUGGUUGUGUAAGUUGUGCUAGCAAACAGGGGAGGUUGUGUAAGUUGUGCUAGCUAACAGGGGAGGUUGUGUGAGUUGUCCUAGCUAACAGGGGUGGUUGUGUAAGUUGUGCUAGCUAACAGGG